rnacentral:lncRNA from 1 species
CUCUCUGCUUCAUUUUCCAUUCUAUUGUGCCUAAAAUUUCUGCAUGUCCAUUUCAAGUGUUCAAAUACCUAUUACCUAAGACUGCAGUAACAUAACCAAGCAACCUAUAUUUACGGCUGGUAAUUGUUAAGCAUACACAUGAAAUUUCAUUGCAUGUGAUUUGUCCGUUCAUGCUACCUUUCCACUUUGUUAGAGACUCGGUUCAUAUCAUAUCUUUACAUACGCAUGGGGGAUCUCAUUGCCGAUUGCUUAGUACAGGAAAGGUAUUUGUAAAAUACCUGGAGAUCAUUCUGUUUUAGGUAUUCCCAAUUUCUCUACUAAGACAUCAGCCCGAGAUUAUGUAUUUCAUCAGUGUUAAAAAAAUUUACAAGAGCAUCUGAAAGCGAAAGGCGAGCAAGAAGACGGGGAGCUCCUUUCUUCUGCUGUUUUUAGUUCUGCUUUGGCUUAUCUGAACCUAAACAGUGUUGUUAUUAAAGUACCAUCACAAAAAGAUACCGAGGUGUUUUCAAAUUUCUUAUACAUGUGGGUCAUUCUGCUACCCAAAAUAUGAAAGAUCAAGUGGUAGAAAUUAAAUUUACCAAACCAGCAAGUUAAAAUAAUUAAGACUGAAAAGUAACUAUUCUCACCUUCUUCUCUUCCUUGCUUACACCUUCUUGCCUUUUGUAUAGAGUUGUCUGGAGCUGCAUGAUCAAGAUAGUACAGUUGUCUCGAGAAAAUUUUUCUACAUUUUUCAUUAAGACUUCAAGAAUAAAGGAAAACUCAUUCGGUGAAUGACUACAAAAUUCAUGAUCCGAUAUCAAAAAAAUAAGAAACUUUGCACCAAAUCCUUCAACAAAUAUUCUAUUGUAACUCAAAAUAAAGGUCAUUCAAACACAUACCAUCUUCCUCAUUUGCUGGCCAUAUGUGCUUGGGGUGCUUUACUCAUUUGAAAAUUAUUGAUAGAAUCAACAAAAAGAAAGUGUGCAGUGGUUUAUCACAUAUUAUAUUGUGCUUGUUCUUUUGGUCUUGUAAAGUUUUCUCCCGAAUAUAGGCCUAAAGCUUCUUUACAACCUAGAAGCAAAAUGGUAAGGAAACAAUAAGCAUAUAGCUUUUUAAUAUAUAUAUAUAUAUAUAUAUAUAUAUGUCGUCUCUGAGAAUUAAAAAAAAAAAAUCAUCCUACACAACCAGAACUGACACUCAGCUGAUACACCUCUGUUCUGGCCAAUUCAGGCACUCCAUUGAACUCUUGAAAUUAUGGAGAAAGAAUAUACAAUUUAGUAAAGCCACCUGGACUUUUCUUUUACAUCUUUAUCCACAUUAGUAGACCUACUUGAUAUGAAAGAAAAUUUAGUUUGGAAAUAUAUAAGCUGGGACAAACAUUUUUCAUAUUCAAAUUCAAAAAUCAUGACAAUGAUACCAUGCAUGAUGCAACCCUAGUGAUCCUUGAAAUAAAUACAAAGGUAGUGGUCAAUAAUAAUUUUCAGAACCUCAACCAAAACAUGUAAAAGAAUGGUUAAAUUACAAUUUGAUCCCAAGUUUUGGCAAAAGCCAUGACUAUUCCUUUGUUUUCAAUCUGAAUCAAUUUGAUCUCUCAGUUUUGAUUAUGUCAACAGUGUAGUCCUCCCAUUAAAAAGUAAAUGAAUUUUAUUUCAGUCAAAAUGAGACAAUAAUUUAAAAAAAAAAGUGUAGGGAAAAUUACAACUUGGCCCUUUAUAAAAAAUUAUAAGUCCUUUUAUUUUUAAUUUGAAACAAUUACAUCCCUCAAGUUUUACUCUGUCAACAAAUUAAUUCUUCAUUUUAAAUUAGAAAUUCAGGUUACUUUGGUCAUUUAACCUCUGACUAAUGGAAAUGUGUCCAAUAGAAUGGAGGGGACAUUUUGUUAAUAGAAUGAAACCUAAGAAUUGCAAUUAGUUCAAAUUAGAAAUAGGGAGCUAACCUAUGAGUUUUUAACAAAUUGAGGGGGCAAGUAGUAAUUUACUGAAAAGAAUUGAAACCAAAAUAUAGACAACAAAAUUAUGAUUAUAGGAGGGUGACAAAAAGCCAACAACCAAGUUAUUUUCAGUGAUGGUAGUUUUAUGUCAACACUGUGUACUUAACCAAACUAUAACUCCAAUGACACGGGUGAAUAGGGCAUCAACAACAGUUUUUCAUGUUCUGAUUGCUUGGGUUAAUACAACAAUUAAACACAUAUAACAUGCAAUUUCAAGGGAAUAUCUCAAAUGUAAAUAAUUAAGAAGAUUAGAUUAUACCGUAAUGAAACCCCCACAGUUUUGGAUCCUGCAACUUGUUCUCCGGGAUGUAGGCUCGAAGUUUCUUCACAACCUAUAACAAUAAUACAUAAAACAUAAGUGAAAGUAUGAUCCAGAAUCUCCAAACUAGACUGAAAAGGAUUCAUAUAAAGUAAAUGAUUUACAGGUAACUUCAGUUCCAGCUAAUUCAGGCAACCCAAUAAGCUUUUGCAGUUGUGAAGAUAGGCUACAUAGCUUUGCAAAGCCACCUCGCCUGUUCCUUCUUUUUAAGCCUUGAUCUAAGGGAUAAAUAGAUGAUCAAUAUUUAGCAUCAUCAAUAAGAGAAACCCAAAAGCGGGAGUGACUGGAAACUCCAAAUAUGUUCUCUUAUCCUCCUCCAUAUCACAGAUAAUUACAGAAAGAUAUCGGAAAGACCGAAAUUAGUG